GCGUGCUUAACACAUGCAAGUCGAACGGGAAACCUUUUAUUGAAGCUUCGGCAGAUUUAGAUUGUUUCUAGUGGCGGACGGGUGAGUAACGCGUGGGUAACCUGCCUUAUACAGGGGGAUAACAGUCAGAAAUGACUGCUAAUACCGCAUAAGCGCACAGAGCUGCAUGGCUCGGUGUGAAAAACUCCGGUGGUAUAAGAUGGACCCGCGUUGGAUUAGCUAGUUGGUGAGGUAACGGCCCACCAAGGCGACGAUCCAUAGCCGGCCUGAGAGGGUGAACGGCCACAUUGGGACUGAGACACGGCCCAGACUCCUACGGGAGGCAGCAGUGGGGAAUAUUGCACAAUGGGGGAAACCCUGAUGCAGCGACGCCGCGUGAAGGAAGAAGUAUCUCGGUAUGUAAACUUCUAUCAGCAGGGAAGAAAAUGACGGUACCUGACUAAGAAGCCCCGGCUAACUACGUGCCAGCAGCCGCGGUAAUACGUAGGGGG
rnacentral:rRNA from 1 species